GAUUCCUGAGCGUCACGCCCAGUGUCCUGACAGUUCCUCUGUGUGCCUCCAGAUCUCCCCGAGAUAGUGCUGGAUGACGUGCCUGCGGUGAGGGUGGCGGGACGGCCUCCAUUCGCUCCGCGGGUGGCCUUCAUGGUGAACAAAACACAUGACCCCGAGUACCCGAGGCGGAAGGUGUCCGGCAUCAGUGCUCAGAAAGUUGUUCCACCUUCCACCAAGGUAAGGGCUUUUCACUUCUCUGAGGAAAAAGAAAAAGCAAAAA
rnacentral:lncRNA from 1 species